rnacentral:tRNA from 1 species
AGUUGUUUAGUAUAAACUAUACAUUUGCUUUGAAAGCUUAAGACGAGCCCCUCAACAGCUU